rnacentral:rRNA from 1 species
CAGUAGCCGCGGUAAUACAGAGGGUGCAAGCGUUAAUCGGAAUUACUGGGCGUAAAGCGCGCGUAGGUGGUUUGUUAAGUUGGAUGUGAAAUCCCCGGGCUCAACCUGGGAACUGCAUCCAAAACUGGCAAGCUAGAGUAUGGUAGAGGGUGGUGGAAUUUCCUGUGUAGCGGUGAAAUGCGUAGAUAUAGGAAGGAACACCAGUGGCGAAGGCGACCACCUGGACUGAUACUGACACUGAGGUGCGAAAGCGUGGGGAGCAAACAGGAUUAGAUACCCCCGUAGUCCCUAUCUCUUAUAC